rnacentral:rRNA from 1 species
UAAAGCUCUGUUGUCAGAGAAGAACAAGUACCGGAGUAACUGCCGGUACCUUGACGGUACCUGACCAGAAAGCCACGGCUAACUACGUGCCAGCAGCCGCGGUAAUACGUAGGUGGCAAGCGUUGUCCGGAAUUAUUGGGCGUAAAGCGCGCGCAGGCGGUUCCUUAAGUCUGAUGUGAAAGCCCCCGGCUCAACCGGGGAGGGUCAUUGGAAACUGGGGAACUUGAGUGCAGAAGAGGAGAGCGGAAUUUCACGUGUAGCGGUGAAAUGCGUAGAGAUGUGGAGGAACACCAGUGGCGAAGGCGGCUCUCUGGUCUGUAACUGACGCUGAGGCGCGAAAGCGUGGGGAGCGAACAGGAUUAGAUACCCUGGUAGUCCACGCCGUAAACGAUGAGUGCUAAGUGUUAGAGGGUUUCCGCCCUUUAGUGCUGCAGCAAACGCAUUAAGCACUCCGCCUGGGGAGUACGGCCGCAAGGCUGAAACUCAAAGGAAUUGACGGGGGCCCGCACAAGCGGUGGAGCAUGUGGUUUAAUUCGAAGCAACGCGAAGAACCUUACCAGGUCUUGACAUCCUCUGACAAUCCUAGAGAUAGGGCUUUCCCCUUCGGGGGACAGAGUGAC